CGAACCUGCAACAGACUUGUAGCAAUGCAGUUCCAAGUCUUUCAACAACUUGUCAACAGGAUGUGUUCUCACUGCUUGUUCCCAGCUUGUUGACAAGUUGUCAACGGCUUGCUGACAACUUGCUACAAGGUUGUUGAGUUCAACAGACUUGUUACAAGUUGUUCCAACAACUUGUUAUCCUGUAAUUCAACAAUUUGUCAACAAGUUGUGAGUGACAACCUUGUAGCAACUUGAUAAAAUAACAGCAUUGUUACAACUUGUUG
rnacentral:lncRNA from 1 species